UGAGACCUCAGUCAGACGGGAUUACCCGCUGA
rnacentral:rRNA from 1 species